UACGGAGGGUGCAAGCGUUAUCCGGAUUCACUGGGUUUAAAGGGUGCGUAGGUGGCUUUGUAAGUCAGUGGUGAAAGCCCGGAGCUCAACUCCGGAACUGCCAUUGAUACUGCUUAGCUUGAAUUAGGUCGAGGUGGAUGGAAUAAUACAUGUAGCGGUGAAAUGCUUAGAUAUGUAUUAGAACACCAAUUGCGAAGGCAGCUUGCUAAACAAAUAUUGACGCUGAGGCACGAAAGCGUGGGGAUCAAACAGG
rnacentral:rRNA from 1 species